rnacentral:rRNA from 1 species
UACGGAGGGUGCAAGCGUUAUCCGGAUUCACUGGGUUUAAAGGGUGUGUAGGCGGGUCGUUAAGUCAGUGGUGAAAUCUCAAGGCUCAACCUUGAAACUGCCAUUGAUACUAUCGAUCUUGAAUCUUGUUGAGGUAGGCGGAAUAUGUCAUGUAGCGGUGAAAUGCUUAGAUAUGACAUAGAACACCGAUUGCGAAGGCAGCUUACUAAACAAGCAUUGACGCUGAGGCACGAAAGCGUGGGGAUCAAACAGG